GGUCCAUUGGUCUAGUGGUAUGAUUCUCGCUUAGGGUGCGAGAGGCCCCGCGUUCGAAUCGCGGAUGGACCC
rnacentral:tRNA from 2 species